GGACCCGCACAAGUAGUGGAGCAUGUGGUUUAAUUCGAAGAUACGCGCAGAACCUUACCAACACUUGACAUGUUCGUCGCGACUUUAAGAGAUUAAAGUUUUCGGUUCGGCCGGACGAAACACAGGUGCUGCAUGGCUGUCGUCAGCUCGUGUCGUGAGAUGUUGGGUUAAGUCCCGCAACGAGCGCAACCCUCACUUUUAGUUGCCAUCAUUUAGUUGGGCACUCUGAAAGAACUGCCAGUGAUAAGCUGGAGGAAGGUGGGGAUGACGUCAAGUCCUCAUGGCCCUUACGUGUUGGGCUACACACGUGCUACAAUGGCACUUACAAUGGGAUGCAAAGAGGCGACUCUUAGCUAAUCCCUAAAAUGUACCUCAGUUCGGAUUGUACUCUGUAACUCGAGUGCAUGAAGCUGGAAUUGCUAGUAAUCG
rnacentral:rRNA from 1 species